rnacentral:rRNA from 1 species
UACGAAGGGAGCUAGCGUUGUUCGGAAUCACUGGGCGUAAAGCGCACGUAGGCGGAUGUGUCAGUCAGGGGUGAAAUCCCGGAGCUCAACUUCGGAACUGCCUUUGAUACAGCACAUCUGGAGUCCGGAAGAGGUGGGUGGAAUUCCUAGUGUAGAGGUGAAAUUCGUAGAUAUUAGGAAGAACACCGGUGGCGAAGGCGGCCCACUGGUCCGGUACUGACGCUGAGGUGCGAAAGCCAGGGGAGCAAACGGG